ensembl:lncRNA
UGUUGUUAUAACAUAGAAUUAUAAGUUAAAAACGUCCCAAUUACACCAAAAAAAGCUAACUUGAAAACUCAUGUCCAGCUAAAUCAGCAACUUAUGUGAACUUGACAAUGUGGGUAAGUUGAGCACAGCAGGAUUCAAAACUGCCUCACGUGACUGCUACCGAGGUGCAUCAUGGGGAAUUGGCGGUUAACGACAUGCUCACUUUACUUGGACGUUUUCUAAUCGUCUUCUUUGGAAUAUGCUUUCAAGGUCUGUGAUGCCAAACUUGAUGCUGGGGAUUUAUUUUUGUCAGUGGAGUCAAAUGGUUGAAGCAGAAUUUGCCUGUCUUACAUCUGUUGACCUGAAAGGGUUCCUUUUUGCUGUGCUUGACCAUUAUGGAGAGGUUCGUGGAGCUGUUCAAAAUCAAGAGCGGCAUAGGAGGGCUAACCAGGCUCAUAAGAUGCUUCGGUGAUGAUAGCCCUACACAAAGGAAGAGGACAGAGGACCUCAUUUUCUAAAGGAAGAUCCCUCACACACUUUCAAGACUGUGAAGCCGACAGGUAUUGAAGACACGUUUUCUAAGAGGAUGAAAGUUGGCAUUGCGAUGGUGAAAGAAGAAGACAUCAUCGAUGUGUUGGUUGUCCUUGAGGCGGCAGUAAUCCUGUCUAAUCUGAGGAAUGUCUCAAGUGCCAUUUCCAUGCUGAUGGGCCUUCUUUUGCCCUCAACAUAGACUAUCCAAAGGAACUUAAGGACAUCUUUGAAGUCAUUCAGAACAUCCUAAUGAACAUUGGUGGAAGGCAGUGCAUCUCACUAGUGCAUGGUCUAAGAAACAGACUCUUGCAGAAAGCCAUGCAGAACUGUAAUUGUAUGCUCACAGCAUACAAUUGCCUUAGUGUUAAGGACAGUUUUUAUUUUACUGUUUGUUUUUUUAUUCUUGCAAGUUCUCAUUCUCACUUUUGUAUGUCACUAAAUGACUACACUUUACAUUCCAGAUUAGACAAUUUGUUCAUGGUUUAAGAAGCUUAUGUGAACAACAAUAUAAUGGUGGACUUUGCAGAUGCUUAUCUCAUGCAAGUCAGUAGUUUUUCCUUUGUUUUGCAAUUGAGCAGACUCAAACUGAUGUUUCUGAAAUAUCCAUCUUAUCAAAUGUUUCAGAAGCAUGCACUCAUUUUCAGAGAUAUUGGUUCUGUGGAAUUUGUUGCAAUUGUAAACGAAGACACAUACAAGAGUUUGAUGUCUUAGUUGUUAUAAACUGAUCUUUACUGUCACUUAUCAAAAGUUUUGUACUAUUUUAAUAUUUCAAGUUUUAUGCUAACAGGUGUGACUGAGCACAAUGAAGUUUAAAAAUUUUGCAAAUGUAAAGAAUAACUUUUCUA